ensembl:piRNA 21ur-14556 ncRNA
UUACUUCGUCUUGGAAAAAAC